GCGUUCAUUGUCUAAUGGAUAAGACAGAGAUCUUCUAAAUCUUUGGUGUAGCUUCAAAUCCUAUUGGACGCA
rfam:Solanum tuberosum cultivar DM 1-3 516 R44 scf00348_37, whole genome shotgun sequence.